AGUUGAAGCUCAUGUCCUCUUGAUUUGGCCUGCAACAUGGCUUUCAACUUAGCCAUUUAUUUACAGUCUAAAACCCACUGGUGGCUUCUUUAACGCCCCACGAAAGGGGUGUACCAACACCAGAGAUGUUGUAACCUCAGCUCAUGGAAUAUAUGGUGCAAGCUCCGAUCCCAUCUUCCAGAUCCCCAAUCUGUUUGCUCUAUUGUCCUCAGAUAGAGGGCACAUCAAAUAUUAAACUGGUUCUUAAGACGCAGCUUAAUCGGUCAGAACAAGGACUUACCCACGUUCCCAGCCAGCAGUAUCCUGCAGCACGAGUCCGUGUACAGUGUCGUCAGCGAAAUGGCAGAGUGCUUCGUGAAGGGCAGCAUGUCUUUCAGAAGCUUCCCCUGAACAAGGCACAAGGUAAACAAGGCUCCUAUGACAAUAAGUUCUAUAAAAUCCCAAGAUUAAAGUUGAAUUUCACUCUACUUAAGACACUUCAAUUUUUAUCUCUACUACUAACAGGAUUUUCUCAUCUGUACUAAAAAUAACUUGAUGCUAUCCAUGAAGACUUAUUACUUUGAAAUGAAGAGUAUGGGUAACUGCUAGCUGAUUGUUAUCCAUUUCCUCUUUUCCUUGUGUUUUCCAUGGGACUUUUCAUGCAAUUCCUUGUGCGGGAUUUCAAAUAGAUACUUUCUCCUUACACAAACAUUCCCUUCAAAGUCAAAUACAACUGCAGGGUGACAUAGACAUACUUACCUGCUAGGAAAACAUACCUGAUUAUUGAAGCAACAAAGGAUUGCAAAAGGUUCGAACCAAUAUAAACUAUUUUGAGUGGUAUAAGCUAGCCUUUGGAAGGACUUCCAUAGCAUGAUCUCAUUGGAAAAUCAACAGCUGUUCUCUAAGACUCCUUGGAUAUUGUCUCUUCUGCUUCUCUGUUUUCUUCACCACAGAUAAAAGGCAUUUCAUUCCAAGAUCAUCUGGGAGACAGUUUGUGUUUUCAAACCUCAGGACUCAUUACAAAGCUAGAACCUGUGGGCAGACUGGCACGGAGCUAGUGGACAGCUUUGUGUUCUUGGGUCUUGGAGUGGGCCACACAACACUCGCUGUCAUCUCCUGGGUCCUCUGUAGAAGACUCACCACAGUGUUCAUAUCUCCUUGGGUCUCCCAGAGUUUCAGGCUUACAAUGGCUCAUCCAAUUACAAACCCAUCUAUCUCCUGCUUUGAAUUCUUGUUCAUUUUUAACAUUUAGUGUGUGUGUGUUUGUGUGUGUGUAUGUCUCUCUCUCUGUAUGUCUGUGUGUGAGUGUGUUUGUGUGUGUGUCUGUGUGUGUUUGUGUAUGUCUGUUUGUGUGUGUGUUUCUGUGUGUGUGUGUGUGUUUGUGUGUGUGUGUGUGUGUGUGUGUGCUGCAUAUGUGGAGCUCAGAGGACAAUGGACAACUUUGUGGAACUACUUCUC